rnacentral:tRNA from 2 species
ACUAUCUUGGCAGAAUAAAGUGUAAUAGAUUUAGAAUCUAUAAAUGUGAUAAAUUAUCAUAGGUAGUA